rnacentral:rRNA from 1 species
AAAUUGAAGAGUUUGAUCAUGGCUCAGAUUGAACGCUGGCGGCAGGCCUAACACAUGCAAGUCGAACGGUAACAGGAAGCAGCUUGCUGCUUCGCUGACGAGUGGCGGACGGGUGAGUAAUGUCUGGGAAAUUGCCUGAUGGAGGGGGAUAACUACUGGAAACGGUGG